ACUAGAAGCUCUUGGGAGCAUGUGGACAGUUGUGGCUGCUCCUGAGCUGACACUAACUGCUCAUGACUCCUCUGUGGGAGAAGUAGGUGGUUUCCUAGAGGAAGAAGUUUGGGUAAUGAAGCCACAGAGAUUUGCUGAUACAUUUGCUAGGCACGACUUCUGGUCAUUUAGAAAGCUAUUUUGUGGCUUCAUCAAUAAGGUAUUCCCCAGCUGUGUUACUCCUUCGCAUUGUUAUCUCUUUCCCUGGAAUUGAAGGCUUCCUGGUCUGAGGCAAGGACAAUUAUUCCCUCACUGUCAACCCUGAUCUCUGGCUGCAGUAAUGAAUGAAGAAAUAAGAAUGGAAGCAUAAUCAUUUGUCCGAGGUCACAGAGGGAGAUGAUUACACAGCUGGAAUAAACUCUCCUCCUUCAAUACCUGACUACUUGCACCAUCCAGCAGAUAUCCUCUACUACCAAGUCUCAACAGAUGGUUCAGCUGGUCUUUAAUGAACAAAAGGCAUUUGUGUAAUGGACUCUUAUUGCUCAAGAAGAAUUUCUUCCUUCCUGAAACAUGAGGAGAAACUGACAAAAACUGUCUCCUUGACCAAACCCUAGUCAGUUGCCUAUAAGCCCUGUAGGCUGUGACCUUAGUGUCUAUCCUUAUCAGACACGCAUUACACAACCAUAGCAACAGUCUUGCUAAGUUGGUUUAACCAGAACCCCUACCCUUGAUAUCUGAUUUAAUUUAUAAUUCCCCUGAGUCCCCGAGGUGACAUCCAUUCAUCCUGGCCAGCUUUCAAUAAGAAUCCUAUUGGAUUAUUUAGCUAGAAAUCACCCCUUACACUUAAUGCUUCCUUUUAGUAAUUUUGCAUCCACUAACCCCGACCUUGCUCGUUGGCUAUAAAUCCACAAGUUGUCCGUGUUGUGUUUGGAAUUGAUUACAAUUCUAUAUUGAGGUCUCUUUUCCCAUAUUGCAAUAGUUCCUGAUUAAAAUCUGCUUUUGCCCAUUGAUAUGGUUUGGUUGUGUACCCACUCAAAUCUCAUCUUGAAUUGUAGCUCCCAUGAUUCCCAUAAUUGAAUCAUGGCAGCAGUUUACCCCAUACUGUUCUUGUGGUAGUGAAUAAGUCUCAUGAGAUCUGAUGGUUUUAUAAGGGGUUUCCACUUUCACUUGAUUCUGACUCUCUUUUGUUUGCCGCUAUGUAAGACAUGCCUUUCACCUUCUGCCAUAAUUGUGAAGCCUCCCCAGCCACAUGGAACUGUGAGUCCGUUAAACCUCAUUUUCUUUAUAUAUAAAUUACCCAGUCUCAGGUAUGUCUUUAUCAGCAGCAUGAAAAUGGACUAAUACACUCCUUUAACUGUGUAGCUCUGGUGUUCUUUGAUGAGCUAGAAACUGUAAAUCUCUGGAAGUCAAAUCUUCAUUUGAACUGGUUGUUAUAUAUUAUUGAUUCUCUCAAUUAUUUAGUUAAAUAAAAGUCUUGACAUGUUAAA
rnacentral:lncRNA from 1 species